UGGGGAAUAUUGGACAAUGGGCGAAAGCCUGAUCCAGCCAUGCCGCGUGUGUGAAGAAGGUCUUCGGAUUGUAAAGCACUUUAAGUUGGGAGGAAGGGCAGUAAGCGAAUACCUUGCUGUUUUGACGUUACCGACAGAAUAAGCACCGGCUAACUCUGUGCCAGCAGCCGCGGUAAUACAGAGGGUGCAAGCGUUAAUCGGAAUUACUGGGCGUAAAGCGCGCGUAGGUGGUUCGUUAAGUUGAAUGUGAAAGCCCCGGGCUCAACCUGGGAACUGCAUACAAAACUGGCGAGCUAGAGUAGGGCAGAGGGUGGUGGAAUUUCCUGUGUAGCGGAGAAAUGCGUAGAUAUAGGAAGGAACACCAGUAGCGAAGGCGACCACCUGGGAUCAUACUGACACUGAGGUGCGAAAGCGUGGGGAGCAAACAGG
rnacentral:rRNA from 1 species